UGAUAAAAUAGGUUACCAAUCAUCUCUCACAGAUCUUGUCUUGCUACUUUUGGCUCAUUUUUAUCGUUAUCAAAUAUUUUGAAUGUCUAUAGGUGUUAAGGGUUAAAUAGUUUUCAUGUGAUUGAGUUAUUUGGCCAGAAGGUAUUUGAGUAUCAUUCUGUGUUCAGGCUCUUCAGUGGUUUGGAACCUAGUAUAGAGAAUCUGAAAGGACAGAUGAGAUGGAUGACAUGUGAGGACACAUCAAAAACAAGGCCAUAAAUUUGGGUUUUCAUGCAUGUCAUGGUGUGGCCUAGUUGGAAACAUGGGGUAAUCAGGAAAGAUUUACUAGUGAGGCCGAUAGUGCACAGAAUCUGGUACCAGCAAUUCCUGCCUCUUCCUGGCUGUGUGAUUUCGGACGGUAACUGUGGAUGACUGGGCCUUCCAUGGAAGCCCACAUGGGGGAAGGCUGGACCUGAGCAUCUCUGAGAUGUCUUCUUGUGAUUAUUGUAUUUGAAGGGAGCCAGCACAGGGCUCACCAAGGCAGCUGUUUGGAGCAUAGAAUCUGAUGAGCCAAACUCAUAGUUUGAACUCCCUUCUAUGGCCAAGACAUUGUUCUUUCCUCUGGAUCCAUGAAUAGCAAGUAUAUGUUCUAACUUCAAAAGUAAACAGAGAAUUGAGAAAUUAGGGAGAAAAAUACAUCACACCUGCACAAACAACUCGAAGCAGAUGGUCCACAGAAAGAAGACCGGUCAUGCUAUGUUCAUAUAGAAAGGCUAAAGCAUUGUUCACAGGCUCAUGACCAACUGAUGACUGUCUCCCCUGAGAACUGGACAAGAGGCAACUGGUUAAAAUCGUAACAGGAAGUUUACAUUAUAGUGAGAAAAAAAAAAACCACCACUCACAGGAAGUGGUCCUUGAUAUUAUUGGCUCUGGGAGGAUAUACAUGUUUUGGUACCUGUCCCCCCCAGUGACAUAGAGAUUCUCUCGAAUACAUCCUGUGUGGGCUCAAACCACAGCGCUUUGAAGUUUAGAUAGAUCAAAACCUCUACCAACCCUGUUUAUGAACCAGCCUCUCAGAUGAAAACCUACAUGACAACAGAUACCUGAACCCUUGCCCGAGCAAACUUGGCUUAGGCAUCCUGCCCAUGUUUGGUGUCACUUCUCGAAAAGGCUACUUUGGCAUUUAUUAGGCAUUACAUCAUGGUCUCUUUUAUGAGCUGAAAUUAUGAAAUAUCAAGAAACAAGGAAUUAAAUAUAUGGGUCUGGGGUUGGUGAGACGUUUAGCUGGAUGACUUGGUUUCCGAUGAUGACAGACGUGGGCUUACCCACCCAGCCCUUUCCUUGUUUGGGCAGUGACUGGCCCAUUAGAGUUGUUUUGGAAGCAACUGGAAAUAGAAUUGAUUGCUGUUUGUGGUGAUACAAAAAAAUAUAUGUCUUGGGCUGGGAAAUGAGAAAUCUAAGAGGUAGCACCUGAUGCUGGAGUGUGCUUUAAACUGAGUUAAGCUUUGGAACAUUUACAGAAAUAAAUAUAUAUUUUAAAAACCA
rnacentral:lncRNA from 12 species